CAUCGGUUCUAAGUAACGGAAUGGAAGCGGUGCGCGGUGUAUAAAUCGCGAUCCGGUGUUUCAUGGCCGAGGGCUGGCUGCCUCCCGAAGGACUUCUCGUCCUGAAUAAUGCAUCUAACAAUCGCGCGAAGCGGGUCGAGAGACCGAGAACGCGGGAACGCGUAUCUUUCGUAAUGAACUGUGUCGAUUUAUAUCUCGGAUAGAAGUAUCUCCCUGUGCGCGAGGAUACGGGCGAGGAUUCCGCGUGGGCGAAAGGUCGCUUUUAUUCCAAUUCCUCGCGAUCCUCGGCAACACGCAGCAGGCAACAGGUUCGCCCUUUGCUUGCCAUCGGCUACGAAUAAUAGGAAUAAAAAGGCUUGCACUCUGGAAAUACAUAGGAGCCGUGAUCGUCUGAUUUGUCGUUCGACCGACGAGCCCGUGCCGCGUCCUUGCCAAUGUCAUCUCAUCUCGUUGAUUCCGACUGAUUUGCCGAUCGCUCAGCUCCCAGUUUACUUUAGACCGUGCAUCCACAGAAUUCCGGAAUGAGAUAUUUGUUGAAUAUCAGACUCUGAGCAUUUUCUCGGAGCAUGUCAACAGGAGAGUGUCAGACGUUUUGCGAUAUUUGUGAUAUAUGUAUGCGAUAAGAUUUAGUAAAAAAAAUUAUUUGGCUGAUAA